AAGUGAUAUAACUCUGUUCUGUUCUGAUGACCAUAAGCCAUUUCCAUUUCUUCUUCAAAGCUAAAAGAAGUUAUAAAGAAACAUUGUGUGAUUUCUACGACACUCCUAGAUGUUGAUGGUUUUUAUCUUGCUCCAAAGCUAAGGAUGCUUGAUUAACAUAAAUCAUGGCUACCUUACAAGACAAUAUAAACUCUGAAAAGGGGCCUUUCUUUGGAAACUGGCCAGGGUUAAUUGUAGUCAUUCAGCCUACAUAGGAAUGUAAUGCAAGAAUUCCUUCAUUUCUCUAUCAAGGAAGGAGCCAUAAUGUUAGAACACAUACAUGAAGAAUACCCCAGGUUCAUUCUCUGUCAUUGUCAGUGAAAAGAAAACUAUUAAGCUGUUAAGAUUCAGCAAUCCUGGAGACCAGCACAAGCAAGGUUCUCCACAUCUUGUUGAGCUUCUACUUCCUUUAGUCUCUGGAGCCACAUUUGGCCCUUUCUUCUGAAUAUUUAUUGAAAUCAAAUAGUUUCAUGCUCUUGUUCAACUGUUUAUUAUUAUUUUAUUCCCUUCUUAGCCUGUUUUAAUAAACCAAGACCUAGAAAUCUUUUCAAGAAAAGCAGAAGAGAUUAGGGCUUGCUGACACUAUUUAUUGCUAUAGCAAAGAUAGAUAACUCUGUGAUUUAACAAAGAAAAAUGUUGCUUUUGUGUGAUUAGGUGACUGAAUACUUCUUGGAAGAUUAUUUGUUUAAUGCUGCAAUUUCUCAACUGAUGAGUCUCAGUAAUGCAUUGUCACAAGCGUCUCAAAGAGUUAUUCUCCAUAGUGCAGAAUAUGAGGAUGCCCUCGCAACACUCUGUGUUAUGCUUGCACCAAUGGCACCACACAUCAGUUCUGAGAUCUGGAAAGCGGAGCGGAGGCGGCAGCUGGACGAGUUCCUGGCCCAGAAAGGGAGGCCCAGGCCGGCGGGUGGCAGGUGAGGAAUAUAUUAAUAUAUAAUAUAACUAGCUGUGCCCGGCCACGCGUUGCUGUGGCUGAGUCUGGUGGUGUUGGUCAGUUUACAUUACGUUGUAUUUAUGCUGUGACCUCCACCCUUCUUUAUACUCACAUUAGUAGUAGUAUUUGAAGUCUGUUACCUUCUUCAAUUUUUGUGUUGAUUGAUAAUUGCUUGAGAUCCCUGUUGUCUUUGGUUUGUUGUUAAUCGUGAUGUCUGAUUCUGCUGAGUGCGGUUACAUCUUAUUGUGGUACAAUAGUCUUUUUUUUUGCCUGUGUAGGUGUUUAUUAUUGUUGUUGCUGUAGUGGUCAUGAAGGCUGGAUAAGUUAGAUGCUACUGUAUUCGUUUUUGGAGGCCCAGUGUAGCACUGAUUGGCUUCUCAGCCUCAGUGCCUGACUGCUUCUUGCCUGUGAUGGUGUAGAUUCUUAUUGUUGUUGUUGUCAUUGUUAUUAUUGUAAUUGUUUUUUUGGAGGCCAAGUGUGAAUGUAGUGAUUGGGGAGGUGGAUGAGUUGUGUUGUCAAAUUUUGUAUUUGUUAUAGUCACGAUGCGUUGUUGUGAGUUUUGUGGGUCCAGAUUGUGGUUUUGUGGUGUAGUUGUGUUGUUACAACCGGGAGGCAAGGCUUUUGUGUUGUGUUGUCAAGUUUUAUAUUUCUGGGGUGUUUAGUUGUGUGCCAAGUUUCGUAUUUCUGGGGUGUUUAGUUGUGUUGUUACAGUCACGAUGCGUUGUUGUGAGUUUUAUGGGUCCGGAUUGUGGUUUUGUGGUGUGGUUGUGUUGUUACAACCUGGAGGGAAGGCUUUUGUGUUGUGUUGCCAAGUUUCGUAUUUCUGGGGCGUUUAGUUGUGUUGUUAUAGUCACAAUGCGUUGUUGUGAGUUUUGUGGGUCCUGUGUGGUUUUGUGGUGUGGUUGUGUUGUUACAACUGGGAGGCAAG